GAUGAACGCUAGCUACAGGCUUAACACAUGCAAGUCGAGGGGCAGCAUGAUCUUAGCUUGCUAAGAUUGAUGGCGACCGGCGCACGGGUGAGUAACGCGUAUCCAACCUUCCCCUUAGUAGGGCAUAGCCCGUAGAAAUGCGGAUUAAUACCCUAUGUUCUUCGUUGAUGACAUCUGAGAUGAAGCAAAGACUUGUCGCUAAGGGAUGGGGAUGCGUCUGAUUAGGCAGUCGGCGGGGUAACGGCCCACCGAGCCGACGAUCAGUAGGGGUUCUGAGAGGAAGGUCCCCCACAUUGGAACUGAGACACGGUCCAAACUCC
rnacentral:rRNA from 1 species